rnacentral:rRNA from 1 species
UACGAACGCUGGCGGCAGGCCUAACACAUGCAAGUCGAACGAGAAGCCACCUUCGGGUGGUGGACAGUGGCAGACGGGUGAGUAACGCGUGGGAACGUGCCUUUCGGUUCGGGAUAACCCAGGGAAACUUGGGCUAAUACCGGAUACGCCCUUCGGGGGAAAGAUUCAUUGCCGAAAGAUCGGCCCGCGUCGGAUUAGCUAGUUGGAAGGGUAAUGGCCUACCAAGGCGAAGAUCCGUAGCUGGUCUGAGAGGAUGACCAGCCAAACUGGGACUGAGACACGGCUCAGACAGCUACGGAAGGCAGCAGUGGGGAAUAUUGGACAAUGGGCGAAAGCCUGCUCCAGCCAUGCCGCGUGGGUGAAGAAGGCCUUAGGGUUGUAAACCCCUUUCAGCGGGGAAGAUAAUGACGGUACCCGCAGAAGAAGUCCCGGCUAACUCCGUGCCAGCAGCCGCAGUAA